UUCAGAAUAAAGUUUGUCAGAAGGAUAUCUGAGGUUUUUAGAGUAUAUCAGCCUUAUGAAUCUCCUCUGUAUCACUUCUAAUUGGUUUAUGUGCGUCCUCAAAGCUCCACCCCAUGCUAGAAUCCCGUAGCGUAGAUGGCUUUCUACUAAUGCAUGGUAUAACAUUCUCAUCAGGCCCACAGGUAGUAUGACAAAUUUUUCAGUGGUGCUUUCUAUUUUCAAUUCUUGGAAAUCGGGAAGUCCAGGUGAGCUGCAGCUAAACGUUCUCCUAUUAUGAUCUGGAGUUCAGCUGAGUCUACCGGAGUGAAGACUAACGAGUUGGACAUAGUUAUUCGUCUUAAGACAAAAUUUGGAUCUUUUUUGAUUUUGUUGGCCAUUUUCCUACCCAUACCUGAAAAUGUGGAAUUGAAUUCGUUGGCUAUAUCUCUUCUGUCUGUCAACACCCGCCCACUUUCGUCAAAAACGGAGUCAAUAUAUUUGUGGGUUUUUUCAGUUUUACUAAUUUCUUGUACUACUUCCCAUAAUUUUUUUGUAUUAUGAUUGUUUUUUUCUAUUCGAUCUUUAUAAUAUUUUGAUUUAGUUUUUUUAUGAUAGUGUUUAGUUUAUUUCUAUACAUUUUAAAUUCAAUUCUGAGUUCAGUA